rnacentral:pre_miRNA from 1 species
AUUCUACUCCCUCCAUUCCACAAUACAUGCCUUAUAUUUGUCAAAAUAUAGAUGUAUCUAGACAUGUUUUAGUAUAUAGGUACAUCCAUUUUUGGACAAAUGGAAGUCAAGUAUUUUGGAAUGGAGGGAGUACAUA